GACGUAGGGGGCGAGCGUUGUCCGGAUUCAUUGGGCGUAAAGAGCGCGUAGGCGGCUCGGUCAGUCGGAUGUGAAAACCCGCGGCUCAACCACGGGCCUGCAUCCGAUACUGCCGGGCUAGAGGUAGGUAGGGGAGAUCGGAAUUCCUGGUGUAGCGGUGAAAUGCGCAGAUAUCAGGAGGAACACCGGUGGCGAAGGCGGAUCUCUGGGCCUUACCUGACGCUCAGGCGCGAAAGCUAGGGGAGCGAACUGG
rnacentral:rRNA from 1 species